rnacentral:rRNA from 1 species
CCUACGGGUGGCAGCAGUGGGGAAUAUUGGACAAUGGGCGAAAGCCUGAUCCAGCCAUGCCGCGUGUGUGAAGAAGGCCUUCGGGUUGCAAAGCACUUUCAGUGGGGAAGAAAGCCUUGGGGCUAAUACCCUCGAGGAAGGACAUCACCCACAGAAGAAGCACCGGCUAACUCCGUGCCAGCAGCCGCGGUAAUACGGAGGGUGCGAGCGUUAAUCGGAAUUACUGGGCGUAAAGCGCGCGUAGGCGGUCUGAUAAGCCGGUUGUGAAAGCCCCGGGCUCAACCUGGGAACGGCAUCCGGAACUGUCAGGCUAGAGUGCAGGAGAGGAAGGUAGAAUUCCCGGUGUAGCGGUGAAAUGCGUAGAGAUCGGGAGGAAUACCAGUGGCGAAGGCGGCCUUCUGGACUGACACUGACGCUGAGGUGCGAAAGCGUGGGUAGCAAACAGGAUUAGAUACCCCAGUAGUC